rnacentral:rRNA from 1 species
AACGACCAUACCACGCUGAAUACACCGGUUCUCGUCCGAUCGCCGAAGUUAAACAACGUCGGGCCCGGUUAGUACUUAGAUGGGGGACCGCUUA